CUCUUUGCAGCAUCUGGAUGCGGGCUGCAGACUGUCAACAGAUUUUAGUUCCUCCUGCUCAAAGUGAAAUGAAAGAUAAUAAAAACACAAAAAGAACAAGAGAGAAUGAUUAAUGACUUGUUUGCAUUGCUUGAGUUCUGCCGGUGCACAAACUUGAUGAUAUGAAUUAAUAGAUACAGACGUUUUAAUUGUAUUUCUCAGCUUUUAUCAUAAAAAAGGAAAUUACUGAUUUUCUAUCAUUAGUGAAACCUAUCACAUGGUGUUCAAUUAGGACCACGUUCAGACCAUAGCCACAUCUUCUUUUUACACAUAUGAAGAAAAUCUCUGAGAAAAUUUUGGAAAUCUGAGAUUAUGAGAGGAUUUACUCUCGGACAUGCAAAUUUAAUCAAAGAAAAUUGACGGAAUAAACCCGAAAAUAAUGUUCUACUAUAAAUCAUU
rnacentral:misc_RNA from 1 species